rnacentral:siRNA from 1 species
UUCGUUCGAGUCAUUUUCUCCUA